rnacentral:rRNA from 1 species
GCUGGGUUUAGAACGUCGUGAGACAGUUCGGUCCCUAUCUACCGUGGGCGCUGGAAAUUUGAGAGGAUCUGCUCCUAGUACGAGAGGACCAGAGUGGACGAACCUCUGGUGUACCGGUUGUGACGCCAGUCGCAUCGCCGGGUAGCUAUGUUCGGAAGGGAUAACCGCUGAAAGCAUCUAAGCGGGAAGCCUACCUCAAGAUAAGAUUUCCCUAGGACUUUAUGUCCUCUAAAGAGCCGUUCGAGACUAGGACGUUGAUAGGUUGGAUGUGGAAGCAUAGUGAUAUGUGAAGCUGACCAAUACUAAUUGCUCGUGAGGCUUGACUAUACAACACCCAAGCAGUUG